GACACCAUGAAAUGUUUUUUUACAAAACUCCAGAAGGAAAGUAAGGAAUAUGAGAAGACUGGUUAUCAUGAAAAAUGGAGAAAAGCCAGGAGUUUCUGGAAGAAAGAAUGAGUCCUUGGAUUUGAGGUCAGAAUCUCCAUUUGAUCAAUAAAUGAAGAGGUGACCUGACUUUGCGUUUCUGAUUUGCAGAAGAACUGAACAGCUCCUGCCGAUGCCCACGCACUGCACUUCCAGUCUCCCUUCCUUCUCUGCACACCUUACAUGACCACAGCGCACCUGCUCAAGAAAGGAAUUGGUGCUUACGGCUCAGUGUCAACUAGAGUUCAUAACUCAGUCAGUUCUCCUUGGUUUCCUUCCAGCGUCCUCUUCCUGCUCCAGGCAGAAACGUCUCCUUACAUUUCCUUGUCUAGUCUCCCCAGCUUCCACUUGGCUGUUUCUCAGACUUACCUGUCUUAAAUGACUUUGACAGUUGUGAGCAUGUUCUGUAGCUAUCCUGCUACACAGCCUUUGCUGAUGUUUUCCUCAGGAUUAGACUUUUCUCAUGAUUAUAUUUUUGGUAUAAAAGUAAGAAAUAGGAGGCAAU